rnacentral:rRNA from 1 species
AAGUCGAGGGGCAGCAUGGUCUUAGCUUGCUAAGGCCGAUGGCGACCGGCGCACGGGUGCGUAACGCGUAUGCAACCUACCCAUAACAGGGGGAUAACACUGAGAAAUUGGUACUAAUACCCCAUAAUAUUUCAGAAGGCAUCUUUUGAGGUUGAAAACUCCGGUGGUUAAAGAUGGGCAUGCGUUGUAUUAGCUAGUUGGUGGGGUAACGGCUCACCAAGGCGACGAUACAUAGGGGGACUGAGAGGUUAACCCCCACACUGGUACUGAGACACGGACCAGACUCC